UACGAAGGGGGCUAGCGUUGCUCGGAAUUACUGGGCGUAAAGGGCGCGUAGGCGGCCGACCAAGUCAGGCGUGAAAUUCCCGGGCUCAACCUGGGGGCUGCGCUUGAGACUGGUUGGCUAGAGGCCGAGAGAGGGUGGUGGAAUUCCCAGUGUAGAGGUGAAAUUCGUAGAUAUUGGGAAGAACACCGGUGGCGAAGGCGGCCACCUGGCUCGGUACUGACGCUGAGGCGCGACAGCGUGGGGAGCAAACAGGAUUAGAUACCCUGGUAGUCCACGCCGUAAACGAUGUGCGCUGAAUGUUGGGGUUCCUAGAACCUCAGUGUUGUAGCUAACGCGGUAAGCGCACCGCCUGGGGAGUACGGCCGCAAGGUUGAA
rnacentral:rRNA from 1 species